AUUGAACGCUGGCGGCAUGCCUUACACAUGCCAGUCGAACGGCAGCACGGGUGCUUGCACCUGGUGGCGAGUGGCGAACGGGUGAGUAAUACAUCGGAACAUGUCCUGUAGUGGGGGAUAGCCCGGCGAAAGCCGGAUUAAUACCGCAUACGAUCUACGGAUGAAAGCGGGGGACCUUCGGGCCUCGCGCUAUAGGGUUGGCCGAUGGCUGAUUAGCUAGUUGGUGGGGUAAAGGCCUACCAAGGCGACGAUCAGUAGCUGGUCUGAGAGGACGACCAGCCACACUGGGACUGAGACACGGCCCAGACUCCUACGGGAGGCAGCAGUGGGGAAUUUUGGACAAUGGGCGAAAGCCUGAUCCAGCAAUGCCGCGUGUGUGAAGAAGGCCUUCGGGUUGUAAAGCACUUUUGUCCGGAAAGAAAUCCUUGGCCCUAAUACGGUCGGGGGGAUGACGGUACCGGAAGAAUAAGCACCGGCUAACUACGUG
rnacentral:rRNA from 1 species